UACGGGGGGUGCGAGCGUUGUCCGGAAUCACUGGGCGUAAAGGGCGCGUAGGUGGUUCGGUAAGUCGGGUGUUAAACCCCCAGGCUCAACCUGGGGACGCCACUCGAUACUGCUGUGACUAGAGUCCGGUAGGGGAGCGUGGAAUUCCUGGUGUAGCGGUGAAAUGCGCAGAUAUCAGGAGGAACACCAGCGGCGAAGGCGGCGCUCUGGGCCGGUACUGACACUGAGGAGCGAAAGCGUGGGUAGCAAACAGG
rnacentral:rRNA from 1 species